rnacentral:sRNA from 1 species
AUCGCUUCUCGGCCUUUUGGCUAAGAUCAAGUGUAGUAUCAAAAUGGAUCUAGGACCUAAA